UACGGAGGAUGCAAGCGUUAUCCGGAUUUAUUGGGUUUAAAGGGUGCGUAGGCGGAUAUGUAAGUCAGCGGUGAAACUCACAGGCUCAACCUGUGCCGUGCCGUUGAAACUGUGUAUCUGGAAUGCGGAUGCUGUGGGAGGAAUGUGUAGUGUAGCGGUGAAAUGCAUAGAUAUCACACAGAACACCGAUUGCGAAGGCAUCUCACAAAGCCGUUAUUGACGCUGAGGCACGAAAGUGUGGGGAUCAAA
rnacentral:rRNA from 1 species